rnacentral:rRNA from 1 species
GGCGCACGGGUGCGUAACGCGUAUGCAACCUACCUUUUACUGGGAGAUAGCCCGGAGAAAUCUGGAUUAAUACCCCAUAGUACCAGAAUGUCGAAUGACGAUUUGGUUAAAGAUUUAUCGGUAAGAGAUGGGCAUGCGUCUGAUUAGCUAGUUGGCGGGGUAACGGCUCACCAAGGCGACGAUCAGUAGGGGUUCUGAGAGGAAGGUCCCCCACACUGGCACUGAGAUACGGGCCAGACUCCUACGGGAGGCAGCAGUAGGGAAUAUUGGGCAAUGGUCGCAAGACUGACCCAGCCAUGCCGCGUGCAGGAAGACGGCCCUUGGGUUGUAAACUGCUUUUAUCUGGGAAGAAAAAGUCCAUGCGUGGAAAAUUGCCGGUACCAGAUGAAUAAGCACCGGCUAACUCCGUGCCAGCAGCCGCGGUAAUACGGAGGGUGCAAGCGUUGUCCGGAUUUAUUGGGUUUAAAGGGUGCGUAGGCGGCUGAAUAAGUCAGCGGUGAAAGACUUCGGCUUAACCGGAGCAGUGCCGUUGAUACUGUUUAGCUUGAGUGUUGGAGGGGUACAUGGAAUUGAUGGUGUAGCGGUGAAAUGCAUAGAUACCAUCAGGAACACCGAUAGCGAAGGCAUUGUACUGGCCAACAACUGACGCUGAGGCACGAAAGUGUGGGGAUCGAACAGGAUUAGAUACCCUGGUAGUCCAUGCCGUAAACGAUGUCUACUAGCCGUUGGGGCCUUUGAGGCUUUAGUGGCGCAGCUAACGCGAUAAGUAGACCGCCUGGGGAGUACGGUCGCAAGACUAAAACUCAAAUGAAUUGACGGGGGCCCGCACAAG